GGUUUGUGGCUCAGUGGUAGAGUGCUUGCCUAGCAUACCUGAGGCUCUGGGUUCAAUCCUCAGCACCA
rnacentral:tRNA from 1 species